GUGAAUCAUCAAAUUUUUGAACGCAAAUUGCACUCCCUGGUAUUCCGGGGAGUAUGCCUGUUUGAGAGUCGGUAAAAUAAAAAAUCGAGGCAUCGCGCUUUUUUUUAAGGGUUUUCACGUCUCAAUUGAUCCGUCUUUUAAAUUUUAAUGUAUGUCAAAGUUGCUUAAAAUGCAUCCAUCCCUUACGAUGAAAGCGUAUUUUAGAACAACUGUGAUUU
rnacentral:misc_RNA from 1 species